rnacentral:tRNA from 1 species
ACCUAGUUGGCUCAAUCUUUAGAGCAUGUGACUCUGGAUCUCAGAGCUGUAGUUCAAGCCCCACAUUGGGUG